AUUGAACGCUGGCGGCAGGCCUAACACAUGCAAGUCGAGCGAGCGGCGGACGGGUGAGUAAUGCCUAGGAAUCUGCCUGGUAGUGGGGGAUAACGUCCGGAAACGGGCGCUAAUACCGCAUACCAUCAAAUGUGCCCAGAGGGGAUUAGCUAGUUGGUGGGGUAACGGCUCACCAAGGCAACGAACCCUAGCUGGCCUGAGAGUAUGACCAGCCACACUGGAACUGAGACACGGUCCAGACUCCAACGGAAGGCAGCAGUGGGGAAUAUUGCACAAUGGGCGCAAGCCUGAGACAGCCAUGCCGCGUGUAUGAAGAAGGCCUUCGGGUUGUAAAGUACUUUGAGCGGGGAGGCGUUACCCGCAGAAGAAGCACCGGCUAACUCCGUGCCAGCAGCCGCGGUAAUAC
rnacentral:rRNA from 1 species